CUCCUCUUGCACCCCCUCCCCCCACUCUUCUCCGCUUUCAAUUAUUCUUUAUUUCUGGAGAGAAGAAAAUUUGGCUUCUUUUUUUUUUUUUUAAUAAUAAUACUGCUUGGUUCAUGUGCAUUUCUUACCUUGUUCCCUGUGUAAUUCAGCAAUUCUGUAUGAGUUCAUUGCUAUUCAAGUGGACAAUUGUCGCUUUACUUGAGUUUGACAUGAUAUUGGAUGAUUUUGUGAUCGGUUGUCAACGUGGAUACCUGCUUCGUAUGAGAAGCAACUAGAUUUCUAAAUUGUUGCUGCCUUCAGGUUCUUGAAGAAUUAUGGUCAUUCACUUGAACGGUGUUAUAACGAGUAUGGAUUUCUGGUUUCUGGCUAGGUUGGUUUGCCUCAUUUGCUUAAUGUAGAAUCAUCUUCUUCUUAGACAAACAAACAAACAAACAAAAAGAUUUUGUUUAUUUCUUAAAUUAGUACUCCCAUAUCAAAAGAAGUAAAGACAUUUAAGAGUCCCCAAGUUAGCAACAAGGUGGAGGGUCUUGUAGGAAAGUUAAAAUUUUCAAAUCACCGCCAAGUGGGAACUGAUAUUCUCCUAUAUAUGGUGGUAGAACUGAGCAAGUUUUUCUGACAAUCUAAUUGGGAACUAUGUGCAAGAUACUGAUAGAGAGAUUCACCUAUGUCUAAUAGUAGAAUUGAGCAUUUUUUCUGACUAAAUAAGAAUGAUGUGCAAGAUAUGGAAGGCGAAGAAGGUGGUCUCUCUGUGAUGAAAACUCUCAGGCUGUCAAAUGAUGGGCUACUAAACUUCUCCUAAGAGCUUUUCAAAUAGGAUUCUAAUACUGGUAACUUGUCUGCCAGAUAUACCAUAUGCUAAAGAUUUUGGGCAGACAGGUUGUCCUUUUGAUUUUACAAGUAGUUUUUGCAAUUCCCUAUGCGUCCAAACUACUUUAGUGGACUGACAAAAA